UAGGGAAUCUUCGGCAAUGGACGGAAGUCUGACCGAGCAACGCCGCGUGAGUGAAGAAGGUUUUCGGAUCGUAAAGCUCUGUUGUAAGAGAAGAACGAGUGUGAGAGUGGAAAGUUCACACUGUGACGGUAUCUUACCAGAAAGGGACGGCUAACUACGUGCCAGCAGCCGCGGUAAUACGUAGGUCCCGAGCGUUGUCCGGAUUUAUUGGGCGUAAAGCGAGCGCAGGCGGUUAGAUAAGUCUGAAGUUAAAGGCUGUGGCUUAACCAUAGUAGGCUUUGGAAACUGUUUAACUUGAGUGCAAGAGGGGAGAGUGGAAUUCCAUGUGUAGCGGUGAAAUGCGUAGAUAUAUGGAGGAACACCGGCGGCGAAAGCGGCACUCUGGCUUGUAACUGACGCUGAGGCUCGAAAGCGUGGGGAGCAAACAGGAUUAGAUACCCUGGUAGUCCACGCUGUAAACGAUGAGUGCUAGGUGUUAGACCCUUUCCGGGGUUUAGUGCCGUAGCUAACGCAUUAAGCACUCCGCCUGGGGAGUACGACCGCAAGGUUG
rnacentral:rRNA from 1 species